AUUUGUUUCCUGUAACAAAUCCAAAACUAGUCAAUUGCUCUUUUGAGAACUUUCCAACCUUCUAAAGUUAUAUUUCCUUUCAAAACUUCAUGUUAUGGAGUAAUGCAAACUUUUCACUCAACUUUUACAAGUUUUAUUUUCUAAACUUUGGAGUAUAUUCUUCCCUUCUCUGGAUAUCACACAUUCUCAAAUAUCAUCAUUUUAUGAGUUCCUAAAUAUUUUCGGUAAUCAUUACCUAUGCA
rnacentral:lncRNA from 1 species